GGGUUGUGAGGUUAAGCGACUAAGCGUACACGGUGGAUGCCCUGGCAGUCAGAGGCGAUGAAGGACGUGCUAAUCUGCGAUAAGCGUCGGUAAGGUGAUAUGAACCGUUAUAACCGGCGAUUUCCGAAUGGGGAAACCCAGUGUGAUUCGUCACACUAUCAUUAACUGAAUCCAUAGGUUAAUGAGGCGAACCGGGGGAACUGAAACAUCUAAGUACCCCGAGGAAAAGAAAUCAACCGAGAUUCCCCCAGUAGCGGCGAGCGAACGGGGAGCAGCCCAGAGCCUGAAUCAGUGUGUGUGUUAGUGGAAGCGUCUGGAAAGGCGUGCGAUACAGGGUGACAGCCCCGUACACAAAAAUGCACAUACUGUGAGCUCGAUGAGUAGGGCGGGACACGUGGUAUCCUGUCUGAAUAUGGGGGGACCAUCCUCCAAGGCUAAAUACUCCUGACUGACCGAUAGUGAACCAGUACCGUGAGGGAAAGGCGAAAAGAACCCCGGCGAGGGGAGUGAAAAAGAACCUGAAACCGUGUACGUACAAGCAGUGGGAGCACAGAGCAAUCUGUGUGACUGCGUACCUUUUGUAUAAUGGGUCAGCGACUUAUAUUCUGUAGCAAGGUUAACCGAAUAGGGGAGCCGAAGGGAAACCGAGUCUUAACUGGGCGUUAAGUUGCAGGGUAUAGACCCGAAACCCGGUGAUCUAGCCAUGGGCAGGUUGAAGGUUGGGUAACACUAACUGGAGGACCGAACCGACUAAUGUUGAAAAAUUAGCGGAUGACUUGUGGCUGGGGGUGAAAGGCCAAUCAAACCGGGAGAUAGCUGGUUCUCCCCGAAAGCUAUUUAGGUAGCGCCUCGUGAAUUCAUCUCCGGGGGUAGAGCACUGUUUCGGCAAGGGGGUCAUCCCGACUUACCAACCCGAUGCAAACUGCGAAUACCGGAGAAUGUUAUCACGGGAGACACACGGCGGGUGCUAACGUCCGUCGUGAAGAGGGAAACAACCCAGACCGCCAGCUAAGGUCCCAAAGUCAUGGUUAAGUGGGAAACGAUGUGGGAAGGCCCAGACAGCCAGGAUGUUGGCUUAGAAGCAGCCAUCAUUUAAAGAAAGCGUAAUAGCUCACUGGUCGAGUCGGCCUGCGCGGAAGAUGUAACGGGGCUAAACCAUGCACCGAAGCUGCGGCAGCGACACNNNNNNNNNNNNNNNNNNNNNNNNNNNNNNNNNNNNNNNNNNNNNNNNNNNNNNNNNNNNNNNNNNNNNNNNNNNNNNNNNNNNNNNNNNNNNNNAAUAAGGCUGAGGCGUGAUGACGAGGCACUACGGUGCUGAAGCAACAAAUGCCCUGCUUCCAGGAAAAGCCUCUAAGCAUCAGGUAACAUCAAAUCGUACCCCAAACCGACACAGGUGGUCAGGUAGAGAAUACCAAGGCGCUUGAGAGAACUCGGGUGAAGGAACUAGGCAAAAUGGUGCCGUAACUUCGGGAGAAGGCACGCUGAUAUGUAGGUGAAGUCCCUCGCGGAUGGAGCUGAAAUCAGUCGAAGAUACCAGCUGGCUGCAACUGUUUAUUAAAAACACAGCACUGUGCAAACACGAAAGUGGACGUAUACGGUGUGACGCCUGCCCGGUGCCGGAAGGUUAAUUGAUGGGGUUAGCGCAAGCGAAGCUCUUGAUCGAAGCCCCGGUAAACGGCGGCCGUAACUAUAACGGUCCUAAGGUAGCGAAAUUCCUUGUCGGGUAAGUUCCGACCUGCACGAAUGGCGUAAUGAUGGCCAGGCUGUCUCCACCCGAGACUCAGUGAAAUUGAACUCGCUGUGAAGAUGCAGUGUACCCGCGGCAAGACGGAAAGACCCCGUGAACCUUUACUAUAGCUUGACACUGAACAUUGAGCCUUGAUGUGUAGGAUAGGUGGGAGGCUUUGAAGUGUGGACGCCAGUCUGCAUGGAGCCGACCUUGAAAUACCACCCUUUAAUGUUUGAUGUUCUAACGUUGACCCGUGAUCCGGGUUGCGGACAGUGUCUGGUGGGUAGUUUGACUGGGGCGGUCUCCUCCUAAAGAGUAACGGAGGAGCACGAAGGUUGGCUAAUCCUGGUCGGACAUCAGGAGGUUAGUGCAAUGGCAUAAGCCAGCUUGACUGCGAGCGUGACGGCGCGAGCAGGUGCGAAAGCAGGUCAUAGUGAUCCGGUGGUUCUGAAUGGAAGGGCCAUCGCUCAACGGAUAAAAGGUACUCCGGGGAUAACAGGCUGAUACCGCCCAAGAGUUCAUAUCGACGGCGGUGUUUGGCACCUCGAUGUCGGCUCAUCACAUCCUGGGGCUGAAGUAGGUCCCAAGGGUAUGGCUGUUCGCCAUUUAAAGUGGUACGCGAGCUGGGUUUAGAACGUCGUGAGACAGUUCGGUCCCUAUCUGCCGUGGGCGCUGGAGAACUGAGGGGGGCUGCUCCUAGUACGAGAGGACCGGAGUGGACGCAUCACUGGUGUUCGGGUUGUCAUGCCAAUGGCACUGCCCGGUAGCUAAAUGCGGAAGAGAUAAGUGCUGAAAGCAUCUAAGCACGAAACUUGCCCCGAGAUGAGUUCUCCCUGACUCCUUGAGAGUCCUGAAGGAACGUUGAAGACGACGACGUUGAUAGGCCGGGUGUGUAAGCGCAGCGAUGCGUUGAGCUAACCGGUACUAAUGAACCGUGAGGCUUAACCUUACAACGCCGAAG
rnacentral:rRNA from 1 species